GUACAAGGUCUCCGUAGGUGAACCUGCGGAGGGAUCAUUACAAGAACGCCCGGGCUACGGCCUGGUUAUUCAUAACCCUUUGUUGUCCGACUCUGUUGCCUCCGGGGCGACCCUGCCUUCGGGCGGGGGCUCCGGGUGGACACUUCAAACUCUUGCGUAACUUUGCAGUCUGAGUAAGCUUAAUUAAUAAAUUAAAACUUUUAACAACGGAUCUCUUGGUUCUGGCAUCGAUGAAGAACGCAGCGAAAUGCGAUAAGUAAUGUGAAUUGCAGAAUUCAGUGAAUCAUCGAAUCUUUGAACGCACAUUGCGCCCCCUGGUAUUCCGGGGGGCAUGCCUGUUCGAGCGUCAUUUCACCACUCAAGCCUCGCUUGGUAUUGGGCAACGCGGUCCGCCGCGUGCCUCAAAUCGUCCGGCUGGGUCUUCUGUCCCCUAAGCGUUGUGGAAACUAUUCGCUAAAGGGUGUUCGGGAGGCUACGCCGUAAAACAACCCCAUUUCUAAGGUUGACCUCGGAUCAGGUAGGGAUACCCGCUGAACUUAAGCAUAUCA
rnacentral:rRNA from 1 species